rnacentral:rRNA from 1 species
UAACUAGGGGGGAUAACAUUUGGAAACAGAUGCUAAUACCGCAUAAAACCUAACACCGCAUGGUGUAGGGUUGAAAGAUGGUUUCGGCUAUCACUUUAGGAUGGACCCGCGGUGCAUUAGUUAGUUGGUGAGGUAAUGGCUCACCAAGACCGUGAUGCAUAGCCGACCUGAGAGGGUAAUCGGCCACACUGGGACUGAGACACGGCCCAGACUCCUACGGGAGGCAGCAGUAGGGAAUCUUCCACAAUGGACGAAAGUCUGAUGGAGCAACCCCGCGUGAGUGAAGAAGGUUUUCGGAUCGUAAACUCUGUUGUUGGAGAAGAAUGUAUCUGAUAGUAACUGAUCAGGUAGUGACGGUAUCCAACCAGAAAGCCACGGCUAACUACGUG